UGUUGUUAAAGGGUGAGGAUCUGGGUUCGAGUCUCACCAACAACCUAAUUAUGGAGAUAGUGAGAACUCAUAAUAGAGGGGUUGGGGUCGGUGCGCUGCAGCGCUAUGAACCUGAGGUCCAUGGGCAGGUGUUCCACGGGCGGGUUGUCACAGAAUGACUCCACUGUUGUUCACCCCUCUUUCUUCUCUAUUUCAGGUGAGACAGACGAGUAUAUGAUAUUUGGACCGAUUAGUCUUACUGAACUUUUUCUUUGGAUUUUAUUUUGGGCUCUGGGUGAGUGUAAUUGGGUAUAUAGGCUUUUAUAAUACAAUAUUUUUGUUGAUGGCACACUGUUCUCUGGAUAAGAGAUGACGGGUGUCAUAGUUGAAAAUAGACGUCUCAACAGCAAGAUGUUGUAGCGGCAAUGAAGAUCUAAACGAGCACAAGGACUGUAAGCAGUAAUUUACACACAACUACGUAGUACUUUUACUUCUCAUCAUACCUGCCUCUCUAAUCAUUUUCUCAACAAAUAUGUUUUUCCCUCUCGAGAUAUUUUAUGCAGUGACAUUGAUAGUACUGUGUUUAUAUGUAAUACGUGAGCACGAGGAAAGAGUUUGGUGCUUGUACGUAUUCAAUAUUUUGCGCAAAUGCCACAAAACAACUUAAUGGCCAUAGAUCAUACAAGAAGAUCAACAGCAUCUUCAAGGUAACUUCACAUUGAUGCAGAUGUUUUGUCGCAUAUAUUACGAAAGAUUAGGAUUUCUGGCACUUGCGUUUGCGAGUAAAAAUCGAGUGGUAUGACUUCAAAUUUCGGUCGCAAUCGGAUUCAAUAAAUGGUUAUGAAUGAUGGAUAAGUAAAUGAAUUGUAUUUGCUGGUUCGAGAUAUUUCCUAUAGUUGUUAUGAAAUUGAAUUCUCUU